ensembl:lncRNA
GCUAGUUAAAAUUUAAAGAAAAGUCCAGCACUCCCUUAAAGUCUCAUAUUUGAGCACACAUAAUUAGAAAAGCUUCACCUUGCAAAAGAUAAUUAGUGACAAUUUCUGAAUGGUAUAUACUUGACUUUCAAAAUACUAAGCAAGCAUCUAGAAUACUUUUUUAGCAUGAAAUUCUCAGUCACAGAAAUGAAGCAAAUCCCAUCUGGAGUUUCCAGAUGGUACUCUAAUUAUAACUCAAAAAAUAUUUUAGUUAACUAUACUACUGCAUAUUUUUCACUUUCAAGCCCUGGGUUGCUCCAAUAUCAAAUGAACAAAUAUUUAGAACAUUUUCUAUACUGCUAUCAAAUCCUGUCACAGACAGUAAAAAACACAGAACACUGCUAGGCUUUUCCUUUAAGCUUUUGGGGUCUGAUUGUAGGCUCUGAUCUGUUUCUGUAUUUAAAAUACCAGAUUUCAUCCUCCUUUGUUAUGUUCACUAGCAAAAGGGAAAUAUUCUUGCGUCUUUCACUUAUGAGCAAAAUUAAAAUCAAUGUGCCUCACAAAAAAAUAAUGCUCUCUUUGGAUUACUCUACAGUAAAAAAAAAAAAAGAGAUGAAAAAAAGGAAAAGAAAAUAGGUUGUUUAGAAUUUGAUUUGAUUGAACAAUUUCUUUCUCAGCAUGCCACCACCACCUGCGUGACUCUAAUAUUUUCUUUCUUACGCCCCAUUUGUUUUCAAUUUUUAGUCAUUCCUGUCAUGUCCUAUCCCUCUCUGCAUCUCACCAUCUCUCUCACAGAGAGCAAAGUGUUACAGAUAAAGAGUUGGAGUUUUGCAAUUACAAAGGCAAGAAAAGGCAAACUGUACCUCACCAUGUACAUAGACUGCUAUCAGUUAAUGGCACUCCAUUUAUCCACAAACUGAAACUGAAACUGAACAAACUGGAAAAUAAGUUUUUUUACAUCAGCGGGUAAUUUUUGUGCUACGCUGAUUGUUGCCAUAACGAUCUUAAAUCAUUGUCUGAUGACAACAUGACAUGACAGCAAUUUAUUACACUAUCCUAC